rnacentral:tRNA from 1 species
AGCCUCGUAGCUUAUAGGGUUAGAGCAUUGGUUGCACUAAAGCCUUCUCCUUGCUUUUGUGGGGUUCGAAUCCCACCGAGACCG